rfam:Myotis lucifugus cont2.12424, whole genome shotgun sequence.
GGCAGUUCUCAGGUGACACACCCCGGAAUCAAGCUCCCUCCUCUCUGGUUCCAGGUGUGUCACCAUAGAACCGCA